AAAGAAUUAGUUAAAAUAUAACAUAAAUAUGUCAAAUUUAUAUUAUUACUCUAAUGUAAUAUUCUUUU
rnacentral:tRNA from 1 species